AAUCUCCUGACCUCGUGAUACGCCCGCCUCAGCCUCCUAAAGUGCUGGGAUUACAGGCGUAAGCCACCACAGCCUGCCACAAACUCACUUUUUGAAUUAAUUGUGAGAUGUUGGGCUUGAAAAUCAGGUUCAAUUUUUUUUUAAAGAGUUUUCUAUAGUUGUGAUUCUCUCAUUCAUAGGUCAAAAGGCCACACUGGCAAAGUAACAACACAGAAUUUUAUUACAGCUGCUAGAUAUGAAGACUCAGCAUAUGAUAUCGGUGACGUUAAUACCUUCCCAGGGAGAAGCGCUGUUCCUUCUGGCUGGGAAGUGCGAGCCGGUGGGGGGAGAGAGAGGAGUAGAGCAUUAUGUGGAGGUACUUCCCGGUUCCCUUGCGUCUGAGGGUCUUAUGCCAGAGGGGAUAGAAAGCCCAACAGAAACUCAAGAUAGAAGAAGGAGAAUCUGCGAGUGUCUGUCUCCUGUCAAGCUUCCCUAAUACAGCCCUGGUAGAACUUCAUCAACAGUGGAAGGCAUUUGCAAAGGUGAGCCCAAACCAGCACCCCUUUCCACACAGGCUGUCCAUGUAGAAGGCCCAGAUGCUUCUCAGGGUCUCUGAGAGGAUACAAAGCUACUGAGGGGGCCAGAGGGCACAGCACCUGGGAUUUGGAUGAGAAGCUGCAGGAAGGGAACUUUGCACCCCAAGGGCAUGGUGUGGAGUCAAUAGUGGCAAGUUCAGUCUGGUUUUUUACAUCAGCCGGUUCAGAGGAAGAGUGAAAUCCCCAAGAUCAGCAGGGCAAAAUGCUGGAAGUUGUCGAGGAUGCAGAGAGUAGCAGGAAGACACCUCUGAGAACUCACUCACACACCCUGCCCCUGUGUAGAGAUGUCAUCCUGGGGAUGAGAAGGAGGAAGACAGAGAAACGCAGAAAAGCCUAAGCAGGCACCACAAAGAGACCGAGCCCGUCUGAAAGAGGCUGCUCUAACCUGGUGGAAACUAUUUUAAGUUGCCACCAGACAUUACAUUCCAGAGCCUUGAGAAAAACUGAUGAAAAAAAAGUCAUGAAAAAAAGUCAUUCGCACAAGUGACACCAUGGUGUGAAGUCAAGGAGCACAGACUCUGGAGUCAGAGGGCUUGAGUCAACCUGAGCAUCUUCAGCUUUGACUGUGAAGACACAGCUUUGACUCUCUGUGUUGCAGAGAUGGUAGUGCCCACUCCAGUGACGCUUGUGAGGAUUAGUUGAGAUAAUAAAUACAAAAUGCUGAGCAUCAAACCUAGAGUAGAGAAAGGUCUCAACCUGGCUAAUGUUAUCCAGACAUAUCUGAAACCUCAUGAGUGGCAUGGAAUGGCAGUCCCUGCUUGAACCAUUUACCUCCUUUCCUAACACCAACAAUCACACACACCUGACACUGACCUGAAGCCUCUGGCCUGUCCUCGGAGGCAAAGACUGGGUAGACAAGAUGCCUGGUUACCAGCAAUCUUCUGCAAUUUCCUCUGAGCUAUUGAGAUUGCUUUUCUCUUUGCUCAAAUUAUGUGAGAAACUUUUAAAAAAGAAUUUAAUGUGCUCUUUUGAUAUUUCAGGUGUUCAUUCAAAAGCCUAUGUUAUUCUCUGUCUCUCUGUCUCUUUUCCUAGUUGGGUAAUCAAAAUGGCACAAUCAGAAAUAUUUAUAUCUGCAACAGAAAAGAAGAAUAAAUUUAUUCAUGCACAAGUACAUUAUGUACAUAUAUAUGUUUGUGUAUACAUAUAUCUGUAUAAUUGAUAUAUUUGGGAGAAAUAAAAGGUUUCAUUAAGCACACAAGUUCUAGAGUUAGACCCUCUGUCGCAAAUUACUGUCCUGUCACUUAACUCCUGCCAGAACAAAGUGCAUACUUGAACAAAAUGCCUGCUCUGUAAAAAUGCCUUGAUCUUGAAUAAAAUGCCUGCUAGGUCAAAGCUUCUAUUUUCCCACCUAGAAAAUGGGAACAAUAAUAAGAAUCCUCACUUAAUAGAUAAUGGAAAAAGUUGCUUGCAGCACAGAGCCUGCUACAGACAAUGCCUUCAAUUAAUGCAAACUAUUAAUAUUAUGAAAAGUGAGUAUCUGUUUUCUGACAAUGUUUUCAAUAAUAUAAAUUCUGCCUUUGUUCACUUUAUUUGUUUG
rnacentral:lncRNA from 10 species